CCUACGGGUGGCAGCAGUGGGGAAUAUUGGACAAUGGGCGAAAGCCUGAUCCAGCCAUGCCGCGUGUGUGAAGAAGGCCUUCGGGUUGUAAAGCACUUUCAGUGGGGAAGAAAGCCUUGGGGCUAAUACCCUCGAGGAAGGACAUCACCCACAGAAGAAGCACCGGCUAACUCCGUGCCAGCAGCCGCGGUAAUACGGAGGGUGCGAGCGUUAAUCGGAAUUACUGGGCGUAAAGCGCGCGUAGGCGGUCUGAUAAGCCGGUUGUGAAAGCCCCGGGCUCAACCUGGGAACGGCAUCCGGAACUGUCAGGCUAGAGUGCAGGAGAGGAAGGGAGAAUUCCCGGUGUAGCGGUGAAAUGCGUAGAGAUCGGGAGGAAUACCAGUGGCGAAGGCGGCCUUCUGGACUGACACUGACGCUGAGGUGCGAAAGCGUGGGUAGCAAACAGGAUUAGAUACCCGGGUAGUC
rnacentral:rRNA from 1 species